UUCCGGUUGAUCCUGCCGGAGGAUGCUGCUAUUAGGAUUCGAUUUAACCAUGCGAGUCACUGGUCCUCGUGGCCAGGGCGAACUGCCGAGUAACAUGUGGUUAAUCUGCCCUUGAGUCUGGAAUAAUCUCGGGAAACUGAGGAUAAUGCCGGAUAUGAGAUUUGGUCUGGAACGAUAUUUCUCUUAAAGCUUCGGCGCUCAAGGAUGAGACUGCACUGGAUUAGGUUGAUGUUAGGGUAAAGUCCUACCAUGCCUAUAAUCCAUAGGGGCCGUGAGAGCGGGAGCCCCCGGACGGGUUCUGAGACACUAACCCGGGCCCUACGGGGCGCAGCAGGUGCGAAACCUCCACAAUGUACGAAAGUGCGAUGGGGGAAUCCUAAGUGCUGGCGCAAUGCGUCAGCUUUUCUCGAGUCUAAAUCGCUUGAGGAAUAAGUGGUGGGUAAGACCGCUGCCAGCCGCCGCGGUAAUAGCGGCGCCACAAGUGGCAUCCAUUUAUAUUGGGUUUAAAGCAUCCGUAGCCGGCCUGAUAAGUCUACUGUGAAAUCCUAUAGAAAACUAUAGGGCGUGCGGUAGAAACUAUUAUGGCUUGGGACCAGGAGAGGUCAGAGGUACUCCUAGGGUAGCGGUAAAAUGCUGUAAUCCUAGGGGGACCACCUGUGGCGAAGGCGUCUGACUGGAAUGGAUCCGACGGUGAGGGAUGAAAGCUAGGGGAGCGACCCGGAUUAGAUACCCGGUUAGUCCUAGCUGUAAACGAUGCUCACUUGGUAUUGGAGAUCUUUCGUGGAUUUCCAGUGCC
rnacentral:rRNA from 1 species